rnacentral:lncRNA from 1 species
GGCGUUUCGACGGCUAUGAUCAUCUGAAGGUCUUGAGACUAUAUAUAGGACUCAUAAGAGCCCUAGCGUAUAGCGAUUGGCCGUAUAUUUGAGAGAGACUCUUGUUUGUGAGGCUAGGGUUCUAGAGAAGAAGAGGAUUGGGAUCCUACUUCUUGUGCAAAGGGAAUUUUGUGUGAAUCUCUUGUAGAGCGAUCUCGUGUGAUCGUUCGGGUGUGUGCCAUCUCUGUAAUCUAUUCAUCCUAGUUGAGAUUUGGAGCGGUGGAGGACGUAGGCUAUUUGUAGCCGAACCUCGUUACAUCUUUGUGUUUGCUUUGCUAUCUUUUUCCUAUUUCUUCUUUCUUUGGUUUGAUAAUCCGCUGCGGUGCUCAAGUG